rnacentral:rRNA from 1 species
AUUGAACGCUGGCGGCAUGCUUUACACAUGCAAGUCGAACGGCAGCACGGGUGCUUGCACCUGGUGGCGAGUGGCGAACGGGUGAGUAAUGCAUCGGAACGUGCCCAUGAGUGGGGGAUAGCCCGGCGAAAGCCGGAUUAAUACCGCAUACGCCCUUAGGGGGAAAGCGGGGGAUCUUCGGACCUCGCGCUAUUGGAGCGGCCGAUGUCGGAUUAGCUAGUAGGUGGGGUAAAGGCUCACCUAGGCGACGAUCCGUAGCUGGUCUGAGAGGAUGAUCAGCCACACUGGGACUGAGACACGGCCCAGACUCCUACGGGAGGCAGCAGUGGGGAAUUUUGGACAAUGGGCGAAAGCCUGAUCCAGCAAUGCCGCGUGUGUGAAGAAGGCCUGAGGGUUGUAAAGCACUUUCAAUCGUGAAGAGAAGUUGCAGGCUAAUACCCUCGUGACCUUGACGUUAACGAUACAAGAAGCACCGGC